rnacentral:lncRNA from 1 species
AUUUUUCGUCGCCAGCCACGACAGGGUACAGAAAUCCCUUCCGUCAUUGCCUUUGGAGUAGCUGUUCACAAGCAAAUAAACGCAGUUCAACGUCCAUCGGCUUCAACUCGUACGGCAUCAAAUUUUCUUGCUUCUGAACCAGAGCUGACUGGCUGAAUCAUAUGCAAUGAUUCUACUAACUCUUCUUGGGUUUGCAUGCGACCGUUUUUUGAGUAAUUGCAUUGCCGAUUCACUGAUGACUGAAUGUUGAAUGCCAGUAUCUAACAGUGCUCGUAAAGUCAUGACUCCACUUCCUGAUUUAAUGAUUUGAAUCUGCGCUUUCUAAGAUCUCAUCAGGUGCAAGAAGACUCUGAGUAGAUCUUGCAACUAUGUUCCGAAGAGCUUUUAUUGGCUCUAUGAUUUGUGCUAAGACAAAGCACAAUUAUUUUUAUUUCACGAAAUCUCGCCGAGCAUUUACUGUCGAUUGUUUGAAAGUAUUAAACUCAAACAAUCUGUAGGUUCCCGUGCAUCUCAAGCACCACCAAUUUACCCUUCUUGUUCAUAUGACAAUCAGUGGCCGAAAGGGAUUCGAGUCCGUAAACUGAUUUUUAACGGAUCCUACAAACUGUGUCAAUGGCGAAAUUGCGGUUCAGCUACCAAUAUAUUUGUACCAUUCCUUGAUAGGUUCUGCGUCCAGUUUCAGGUUGAGCAUGAAGACCAUUACUAAGUCGAAUAGUUCAACUUUGAAUAUUUUGAUGCCGGCCAAUAGUUGGUUGGUAACAUCUAGCAUUCGUUUUAACCCAUUGAAAUCAUUAUGGGAGCAUUUCUGAAUGUCCCAGAAACGCUGCAACAAGCAGCUUCUACCCAGUCUCGUGGUUGACCUCUCUUAUGCUAAGGUGAUCAAUAAGCUGAUCUGCUUUGUCACACACUGAGCUCCGGAGAUACUGCUUUGUUAGUGGACUAUGCCUUUGAAGAGAUCCCGGAAGGUAAAAAAAUGGAUUUAGGUCUCAUUAAAUGAUAGAAUCUUGAUUCUCUCCAACUUUAGUGACUCCUUUGAACUUCUGACCGAAGGAUGUCCAUCUUUUCCCAGAAUAUUGUAGAAUAGUUGGAACACCAUGCUUUCCAAUGCUUCAUACUCUUCCGUAUACUUCACUAGAGACUGUCUCCUCUUUGUCAAUUUCUUAUGUUUUGUAGGAUGUUGCUUUUCUAUCUGUCCUCGGUAGAGGCUAACUUUAUAUCUUUGGCCAAAAAUGUAUGGGGAUCCAAGAAUCACAGGCAUUACAAAAACUGAAUUCAGUUCCCUCGCAUCCGUUGUUUUCUCAUAGACUUCAACAAAUUAAUCUAUAAGCCGCUCUUGCUGCAAUAUAUGUAUCCUAGGGUUUCAAAUUUAGGAGCACAUCUAUAGCGGCAGUGGAUGUUGCAUUUCAUGGCGGUGGCAACAUUCAAACAUAUAAUUCUUUACAGUGAGGACAGCUUUCAGUGAAAACUGUUUUAGGAUGGUGCCUACUGUCAACUAUUGUAUUCCUUGAAGCUGAAAAUAUUGUUGCUAACAAUACUUUCAGCUACAAUUUAGGAUCUUUAAGUUAACGGUCAUUUCUAAUUAGUAGCCAUGCCUCAAUGACAUUUAGUGCCAACUUAGGACGACAUUGGAGAACAGGGUUUCAACAUCACGCUUGAGUUUUGAGAGCGCCUAACCGUGCAAUGACGGAGCUGGUUGAGUGUCAACCUCUGGAUCUCGUUACCCCGGAUUUGAAUCUCAUUUCGUCAUAGAUGUUCGUAUUCAUCAUUAUGGUAUCCGGCUGUUGUAGGCUUACGAAUUACACAGCAUUAAAUGUGAUGAUAAUGAAACUGAAGUAGUCUCGGUGAAAAUAAAAUAACAAUUUGAAAAAGAAACUAUAUGGGUGCACUAUACUUCACAAAGGAGUCAACAGUAUAUAUGUAUAUGCGCGUCCGCCUAUAAGCAAAACAAACUGCCUUCUGGAUUAGUCUGAUUUAAAAAUUUUAGGAAAUUCAUAAAUUUUAGGUAUGGCGGCUAUAAAUGAUAUUAGUUUCGCUCUGUCAGUUUCUCCUGCAAUAUAUCUGCUACUUGUUUUGUUUUGUUUUGUGUAUAUGUCCUCUCUACCGGCUUGAUGAACUGCUUCGCCUUUACUGACAUUACCUAUCGCAUGGCGUCAUAUAGCAUUCGAGUUACAAAUUUCGAAACAGCCUUAGGGGAGAGUAAAUUUCAUUUCUACGCACCAAUUCCUAAACUAAUGCACUACAGCGUAGAUUGUUAAAACUCUUUUUCUUUCUAUAGUUUUGAGCGUUAGUUUUAUAAUCUCCAAUAGGGGGUAACUAGAUUCAGUCUGCAUUUUUCAAUAGGGUCGACAUUCUCGAAUCGUUCUGUCCGACACGAUUUUAGACGGAGGUCGUUUGAUUUUCAACCCGUGCCUGGUUUGAUAAAUAAAAUAAUAAAUAUAUUAAAAGCUGGUAUAUUUUGCUUUUCGCAACAGUGUUCUAAUUUGAGGAGGAAUUGAAUGAAUUGCGGUUCCAUCGCCGUAUAAUUUUGACGCCUAAAAUUUUAAGGGGGGUUUUAGCCCUACUUGGUGUGCUACUUUUUUCACUGAAAUCACUUUUCCGACGCCCAUUUACUACUUGGAUGCUAAGUCUUCAUCUAUUAUUCUCAUAGGGAUCUGGAGGUAACAUAGUAAGUUUCGAUUUACUAUUCUUACUUACAAAAUGCCUCACUGCGUACCAGUCCACAAUAUUCUUCAGUACUUUCUUUUUCUUCAGCCUUUGUCCCGCUCAAAAUCGGGAUCGGCUCGUCUUGCGCCAUUUUGCUCGGUGAUAUGUCUUAUCUGGAUGGAAGUGAGAAAAUCUAAAAUCACCAUUUAACGCAUCAAAUCAACGUUAUUUCAAACGACGAUUUGGUCGUUUAUCAUGGACUUCCAUGAUCAAAUCAAUCUUUGCGGAUGAGUUUUCAUCAGCACGAAUUAUAUCUCUAUACAAUCGCAGACGCCUCUCAGGCAAUUUCUCUACGAUCAGUGGAACCUCAUAUCGAUCACGGAUAUCCAUCUCUGUUUUAUUCAAAUUCAUUCUUAGACCGUGUUGUAUGAGGCGAUCGUUCCAUUUUUGAACAAGUUGUUCGAGAUCAACUUCACUAUGAGACACUAGGAAAACAUCAUUUGCAUAAAGCAGUGUAUGGGGGGAUUCCUUGAUCAAAACCGGCAGAAACACGUAGUGUUUUUAUAUACCUACCAAAUUUCUGAUUUUACUCUUCGGAUCGCGCGUCAAACGCCUCGUCUAGAUCCGGAAAUGCAAUGUAGAGAAGGCAAUGCUACUCAGGAUGUUUUUCAAUGAGUAACCACACAGGAUUUAUUGCGUCAGUAUUUCCGCAGUUCUUGGCGAACCCGGCUAGGUUACUGCUCUUUCAACGAUGUCGCGAAUACUGUCCAUGGUAUGGAACAGCAAUCGGAUCGGACGGUAUUUUGAAUACUCAGCUGAACUACCUUUCUUUUUCCAUAUUGGAAUAGUGUCGCUUUCUUGCCUGUCAGCUGGUGUUCUAUCUUUUUCAACAACCCGAUUGAAGAACUCCCUGAGUCAGUGUUUGGUCCCAGUUCUUCACUCAGCUUCGAUCCUAAGUAUGUUCCCAUAGUAUGGUGCUUGUUCAAUUAUGGUGAUUGUCAUGCAGUUUACUCAUACUUUGUUCUUCAAAAAGGACUUGCGAUUGAAUUGCUUUCCUUAACAUUUCGUCUCUUUAACACCGUAGAUCUCUGACUGAUCCAAACUAUACAAAGUCCACACAGAGAAUAAGAUAAAAACUCGAGCAGCUUAAAGUCUAAUUUUUUUGCUAGGAGUUUUCUGUUCAGGUGCAUUAUGUGGAAAAAGGACUCCUUGAUAGCUUCAUCCAAUUUUGUUAUCUGCUCUCUGUGAUGAUUCUUAGUUUAUCGCACAAAAUUGAUAUUACCCCCUUAAAUUUCUUGUAAAGAUUGAAACCUCGAAUAUUCUCGUUGUUGUUAAUGAUGGACACCGUAAAUAUUCGUUAUUUUAUCAUUUUGUUGAUAUAUUUCUAUGGCAAUUCCAAUAUUUUAUCUUAAAUCUGUUGUUAAUUGGAAUAAUCGUAUUUUAUUUUGAUAUUUCAUAUUUUGUAAAUAUGUAUAUUAAAAGAGCGCUUUGAUUUGGGUUUAUAUUUUCUAAACAGACUCAAAGAUGUUACCUUACCACUUACUGGGUUUUUGGUAUAGUAUAUAAUAUAUGAUUUAAAACACACUUCACUCAUUAAAAAUUCUAGUCCAAACUUAUCACAUCACCCACGCCUAGACAUAUUCAGAACAAUACCUGACAUAAGUAUAACGCAAAGUCCGAAACGCACAUAGAAAACUCAGUCAUUCCAGCAUGCACGCCUUGAUUUCCUCCCGCUGAUUUUAGAGUACGAAUACCAUGUAAAUCCUUAAUAUAACUUAAUCCGAUUAUAGAUGGUUUUAAGAGAAGAUUAUAAACCGCACACAUACACACUAUACUAGGCAACAGAACACAUAAAAGGAACUUUAGUCAAAUUAUUAAACCAAAACAUUCCUGAAUAGUUAACACAUUGUAAUGCAACAUUCUUGAUCUAUAUUUCUCACAUAGUAAACUCGUGUUACAUUUGCUUUCUUAUUGUAUGUAACUAACUGACUUAACACUUAGAAGUAAAUAUGAUAAAAUGUUCUUGUUCGUAACUGUAAAAACAAAAAAAAACAAAAGAUAUUGAAAAAGAUACCACAAAGGAAAAUAAAGAUAUAAAGUGAUUUAAAAACACGAACUAUAGGCCUAUA